rnacentral:rRNA from 1 species
CCUACGGGUGGCAGCAGUGAGGAAUCUUGGUCAAUGGGCGCGAGCCUGAACCAGCCAAGUAGCGUGAAGGAUGACUGCCCUACGGGUUGUAAACUUCUUUUAUAAAGGAAUAAAGUGAGGCACGUGUGCAUUUUUGUAUGUACUUUAUGAAUAAGGAUCGGCUAACUCCGUGCCAGCAGCCGCGGUAAUACGGAGGAUCCGAGCGUUAUCCGGAUUUGUUGGGGUUAAAGGGAGCGUAGAUGGGUUGUUAAGUCAGUUGUGAAAGUUUGAGGCUCAACCGUAAAAUUGCUAUUGAUACUGGCAGUCUUGAGUACAGUUGGGGUGAGCGGAAUUCGUGGUGUAGCGGUGAAAUGCUUAGAUAUCACGAGGAACUCCGAUUGCGAAAGCAGCUUACUAAUCUGCCACUGACAUUGAUGCUCGAAAGUGUGGGUAUCAAACAGGAUUAGAUACCCUUGUAGUC